GACGAACGCUGGCGGCGUGCUUAACACAUGCAAGUCGAGCGGUAAGGCCCUUUCGGGGGUACACGAGCGGCGAACGGGUGAGUAACACGUGGGUGACCUGCCCUCAGCUCUGGGAUAAGCCUGGGAAACUGGGUCUAAUACUGGAUAUGACUCCACGGUGCAUGUCGUGGGGUGGAAAGCCUUGUGCGGCUGAGGAUGGGCCCGCGGCCUAUCAGCUUGUUGGUGGGGUGANGGCCUACCAAGGCGACGACGGGUAGCCGGCCUGAGAGGGCGACCGGCCACACUGGGACUGGGACACGGCCCAGACUCCUACGGGAGGCAGCAGGUGGGGAAUCUUGCGCAAGUGGGCGAAAGCCUGACGCAGCGACGCCGCGUGAGGGAUGACGG
rnacentral:rRNA from 1 species